rnacentral:rRNA from 1 species
CAGAGGUCCCGAGCGUUGUUCGGAUUCACUGGGCGUAAAGGGUGCGUAGGUGGUGAGGUAAGUCGGAUGUGAAAUCUCCAGGCUCAACCUGGAAACGGCAUUGGAAACUACCUUGCUUGAGGGUUUGAGGGGGGACUGGAAUUCUCGGUGUAGCAGUGAAAUGCGUAGAUAUCGAGAGGAACACCGGUGGCGAAGGCGAGUCCCUGGAAAACACCUGACACUGAGGCACGAAAGCUAGGGGAGCAAACAGGAUUAGAUACCCUGGUAGUCCUAGCCCUAAACGGUGCUUGCUUGCUGUAAGAGGAAUCGACCCCUCUUGUGGCGGAGCUAACGCGUUAAGCAAGCCGCCUGGGAAGUACGGUCGCAAGAUUA